rnacentral:lncRNA from 1 species
GAGUGUAGCCCUGGAGGAGAGAGAGAGAGAGAAGAGAGGAUGGGAAAGGGGAGGAGGUGAGGUGGAGAAAGAAGGCGAGAGAAGGGAGAGGAGAAAGUGUUAUAGGCGCUGCCUCGUCGGUGAGGACAAUGGAGGCAGGAGAGGAUGAAACAACGCAAAACUGAAGUCCUUGCCAAGUGCACCACCAUUCUCACUCUUUCCUUUUGUCCUAGUGCCAGUUUAGUCUACAGUCUACUCUGGUGCCCAAGAGAAAAAGAUACUGACAAAGUAAACAAAAGUGAAAGAAGAUGCCGACAGAGUAAAAAAAGAAGAAAAAAAAAAGCUUGGGAGAGUUUCUAGCGUUUCAGGAGCCAAUAUGUGUACCCAUGGGGAA